GCCCGGAUAGCUCAGUCGGUAGAGCAUCAGACUUUUAAUCUGAGGGUCCAGGGUUCAAGUGGACCAGGGUUGCUCCCUGUUCAGGCC